rnacentral:rRNA from 1 species
UACGAAGGGGGCUAGCGUUGCUCGGAAUCACUGGGCGUAAAGCGCACGUAGGCGGAUUGUUAAGUCAGGGGUGAAAUCCUGGAGCUCAACUCCAGAACUGCCUUUGAUACUGGCGAUCUUGAGUCCGGGAGAGGUGAGUGGAACUGCGAGUGUAGAGGUGAAAUUCGUAGAUAUUCGCAAGAACACCAGUGGCGAAGGCGGCUCACUGGCCCGGUACUGACGCUGAGGUGCGAAAGCGUGGGGAGCAACAGGAU